GCGAGGGUGGCCGAGCCAGGUCAAAGGCGGCGGGCUUAAGACCCGCUCACGUAGGUGUUCAUGCGUUCGAAUCGCAUCCCUCGCA
rnacentral:tRNA from 4 species